GCUCUGCCCUCGUGUGAAACGGGCAUAACUUUGCAACUCAAAUAUCAUGAACUAAGCGUAAUACUUUCUGUUGCCCUGGUACUUUUCACUCUUUUCUCACCACGAUAUUCGUCACUUAUUCCAGAUGUCUUCAAUUACAAAAAAAAUAAUAUGCUAUAGGUCCUCGGUAAAGCAUGGGUCCGGAUGACUCAUGGUUUCAUAAGAGUAUUAUUUAUUCCUUACUGGAUACUAGUUACGAACAAUCAUACAAGUAUCAGUAAAGGUAAAAAUCCUAUUACUUGGAUACCAGUAUCCUAUGAGGAUCAUUUUUUAUUUUUAUGUAACUGGUUACAAAACUCCGGUUACAUACGCGGCCGAAGGGUUUAUUUACAUCAUAAACAAAAACCUCUUUGACAUGCCAAGGUCCCGGGCGCAAGCAAGCUAAUGUAUAUCUAACUUGUAAGUGUCAAGUUUAUUUUGACAGUGUCUUAUGACAGACGUUUUUAGUUGUCCCUGGCGAUGUGGGGCUGUGGGCACGACUACAGUCAGAACAAGACAAGUCUGCAACGAUUUUGAUAGCACACGCAGAGCAAGUGUUAUUUUUCUACGUCAUAAUUUCAUAGAUGUUUGACGUGCCCCUCCCCCGCAAAAAUCAGUAGACUGUAACAGGCUUGUUUUGUACAGAAAAUUCAGGCAAGGCGUCUCCAAUUGUCAAAUCCUCCAAGGUUAAAAUCGACAAUCUAGUCCAAACAUCUUAGAAAGGUGUCAUCAUAGUCUAUGAAUAAAGCACUAAAAAAUAAAAGUGACAUUUGUCAUUUUAUAUCGGGUGUCAUUUAAAAUCAUAAAUUUAUUUACAGAAAAUAAUUCUAAAAGAAAAUCUACCAAACUAAUUUACAAUAAAAACCAUAAAUUCCCAAGAUUUGAUCAGUGUUCCGUCCUAUUGACAAGGAGACAAAUCAUGAAUGGACCAGAGCAACCAUGUUGAGCAACCUUCUUAUAAUAAUUAAGAAGUGGAAGGCGAUCCUUAUUUUAACAGUCGGAAACUUAUGCCUGACGAAACCGAGACGUUAUAUAAAAUGCAUUUAUGAGCCGGGGAAGGACAUCAGGAUAGUUUCUAUGAUUCAUCAUCAUUCUACGUCUACGCGGACGAAGUCGAGGGCAGAAACUAGUGCUUAAAUAAAUGCAAUAUAAAUAAUAUUACUUAAUUAAGAGGGUAACAUAAAUAAUAACUAGACUUCGAUAGGUACCUAAAAUAGUUUUAUAUUAAAUCAGGUUUCGUUAGAGAAAGAGUCCGAAUUUUGAGCAACGAUGCUAUGCGAGAAGUCGCGCAAAACAACGCGAGUUGCGUAUCCUGUACUGGAGGCCAAGACCCACGGUGCUGCUGAUUUACAAAGUUAGUAUAUUUUACUCUGCACCCUACCGGCAGAUCAUUAAUAAAUUCGAAAGCGAGAUAAACAAUUGUAAUUUACAAGAUUCGAUAAUUAGAGACGCUAGUAUUAUAUCCUAAUGGACAUCUAUCAUUUGUAAAUAUUACUUGUUAUAUAUAAUGACCCAAAACUUAUAUGUACUUGUAUGUAUAUAAACAUGAUAACUUAAAUAUAUAUUGUAUAAUAC